CGCCAACGUCAGUCUGUACCAACUGACAGCACAAAGACCCACAUUGAUGUGUAUGGACUGACAGCACAGAGACGCCAACGUCAGUCUGUAUGGACUGACAGCACAAAGACCCACAUCGGUGUGUAUGGACUGAGAGCACAGAGACAGCAACAUCAGUCUGUAUUGACUAACGUAACACCAUGGUAACACCAACAUCAGUCUGUAUGGACUGACAGCACAGAGACCCACAUCGGUGUGUAUGGAAUGACAGCACAGAGACACUGAUGUCAGUCUGUAUGGACUGAUAGCACAGGGACCCACAUCGGCCUGUAUGGACUGACAGCACAGAGACAGCAACGUCAGUCUGUAUGGACUGACAUAACACCGUGGUAACACCGACAUCGGUCUGUAUGGAUUGACAGCACAGAGAUCAACAUUGCUCUGUAUGGACUGACAUAACAGCAUAACACCAACAUUGGAGUGUAUGGACUGACAGCACAGAGACACCGAUGUCAGUCUGUAUGGACUGAUAGCACAGAGAUCAACAGUGGUCUGUAUGGACUGACAUAACAGCAUGAUAACACCAACAUUGGUCUGUAUGGACUGACAGCACAGAGUCCCACAUUGCUCUGUAUGGACUGACUGCACAGAGACCCACUUCGGUGUCUAUGGACUGACAGCACAGAGACACCAACGUCGGUCUGUACUGACUGACUGCACAGAGACCCACAUUGGUGUAUAUGGACUGAUAGCACAGAGACCCACAUCGGUCUGUAUGGACUGACAGCACAGAGACACCGAUGUCAGUCUGUAUGGACUGACAGCACAGAGAUCAACAGUGGUCUGUAUGGACUGACAGCACAGGACCCACAUCGGCCUGUAUGGACUGACUGCACAGAGACAGCAACAUCGGUUUAUAUAGACUGACUGCACAGAGACCCACAUCGGUGUGUACAGACUGAUAGCACAGAGACACCAACGUCAGUCUGUAUUGGUGUGUAUGGACUGACAGCACAGAGACCCACAUUGGUGUGUAUGGACUGACAGCACAGAGACCAACAUUGCUCUGUAUGGACUGACUGCACAGAGAUCAACAGUGGUCUGUAUGGACUGACAGCACAGAGACCCACUUCGGUGUGUAUGGACUGAUAGCACAGAGACACCAAUGUCAGUCUGUAUGGACUGACAGCACAGAGACCAACAUUGUUCUGUAUGGACUGACUGCACAGAGACCCACAUCGGUCUGUAUGGACUGAUGUAACAGCAUGAUAACACCAACAUUGGCCUGUAUGGACUGACAGCACAGAGACACCGAUGUCAGUCUGUAUGGACUGACAGCACAGAGACCAACAGUGGUCUGUAUGAACUGACAUAACAGCAUGAUAACACCAACAUUGGUCUGUAUGGACUGACAGCACAGGGACACCAACGUUGGUCUGUACCCACUGAUAGAACACCAUAAUAACACCAACAUCAGUGUGUAUGGACUGACAGCACAGAGACCAACAUUGGUCUGUAUGGACUGAUAGCACAGAGACCAACAGUGGUCUGUAUGGACUGACAUAACAGCAUAACACCAACAUUGGAGUGUAUGGACUGACUGCACAGGGACCCACUUCGGCCUGUAUGGACUGACAGCACAGAGACAGCAACGUCGGUCUGUAUGGACUGACAGCACAGAGAUCAACAGUGGUCUGUAUGGACUGACUGCACAGAGACCCACAUCGGUGUGUACAGACUGAUAGCACAGAGACACCAACGUCAGUCUGUAUUGGUGUGUAUGGACUGACAGCACAGAGACCAGCAUUGGUGUGUAUGGACUGACAUAACAGUGUGAUAACACCAAUGUCAGUCUGUACCCACUGAUAUAACAUCAUAAUAACACCAACAUCAGUGUGUAUGGACUGAUAUAACGCUGUGAUAACACCAAUGUCAGUCUGUACCCACUGAUAUAACAUCAUAACACCAACAUCAGUGUGUAUGGACUGAUAUAACGCUGUGAUAACACCAAUGUCAGUCUGUGCCCAUUGAUAUAACACCGUGAUAACACCAACAUCAGUGUGUAUGGACUGAUAUAACGCUGUGAUAACACCAAUGUCAGUCUGUACCCACUGAUAUAACAUCAUAACACCAACAUCAGUGUGUAUGGACUGCUAUAAUGCUGUGAUAACACCAGUGUCAGUCUGUGCCCAUUGAUAUAACACCGUGAUAACACCAACAUCAGUGUGUAUGGACUGAUAUAACACCGUGAUACCACCAACGUCAGUCUGUAUGGACUGACAGCACAGAGACACCGACGUUGGUCUGUAAGGACUGACGUAACAGCAUGAAAGCACCAACAUCAGUCUGUUCUGACUGACAUAACACCACGAGGACACCAACAUCAGUCUGUUCCGACUGACACAACAGCAUGGCAGCACCAAUAUCGGCCUGUAUGGACUGCUGUAACACUGUGAUGGCCCCAAUGUCAGCCUGUUCUGACUGACAUAACACCGUGAUGACCCCAAUGUCAGCCUGUUCCGACUGACAUAACACCAUGAGGACCCCAAUGUCAGCCUGGUCCAACUGACACCCCAUGGCAGCACCAACACCAGGCUGUACUGACUGACAUAACACCAUGAGGACAGCAGCAUCAGGCUGUAUUGACUGACAUAACAGCAUGGCAGCACCAAUAUCGGCCUGUAUGGACUGUUGUAACACUGUGAUGGCCCCAAUGUCAGCCUGUACUGCCUGAUAUAACACCACGAUAACACUGACAUCAGCCUGUACUGCCUGAUAUAACACCAUAGCACUGACAUCAGCCUGUACUGCCUGAUAUAACACUGUGAUAACACUGACAUCAGCCUGUACUGCCUGAUAUAACACCGUGAUAACACUGACAUCAGCCUGUACUGCCUGAUAUAACACCGUGAUAACACUGACAUCAGCCUGUACUGCCUGAUAUAACACUGUGAUAACACUGACAUCAGCCUGUACUGCCUGAUAUAACACCAUAACACUGACAUCAGCCUGUACUGCCUGAUAUAACACCACCAUAACACUGACAUCAGCCUGUACUGCCUGAUAUAACACCGUGAUAACACUGACAUCAGCCUGUACUGCCUGAUAUAACACCAUGAUAACACUGACAUCAGCCUGUACUGCCUGAUAUAACACCAUAACACUGACAUCAGCCUGUACUGCCUGAUAUAACACCACGAUAACACUGACAUCAGCCUGUACUGCCUGAUAUAACACCACGAUAACACUGACAUCAGCCUGUACUGCCUGAUAUAACACUGUAUAACACUGACAUCAGCCUGUACUGCCUGAUAUAACACCAUGAUAACACUGACAUCAGCCUGUACUGCCUGAUAUAACACCAUAACACUGACAUCAGCCUGUACUGCCUGAUAUAACACCAUGAUAACACUGACAUCAGCCUGUACUGCCUGAUAUAACACUG
rnacentral:lncRNA from 1 species